UACGAAGGGUGCAAGCGUUACUCGGAAUUACUGGGCGUAAAGCGUGCGUAGGUGGUUCGUUAAGUCUGUCGUGAAAGCCCCGGGCUCAACCUGGGAAUGGCGAUGGAUACUGGCGGGCUAGAGUGCGGUAGAGGGUGGUGGAAUUCCAGGUGUAGCGGUGAAAUGCGUAGAUAUCUGGAGGAACACCGGUGGCGAAGGCGGGUCUCUGGGCAACAACUGACGCUGAGGAGCGAAAGCGUGGGGAGCGAACAGG
rnacentral:rRNA from 1 species